rnacentral:rRNA from 1 species
UGGGGAAUUUUGCACAAUGGGGGAAACCCUGAUGCAGCGACGCCGCGUGAUUUAGAAGGCCUUCGGGUUGUAAAAAUCUUUUCUAUGGGAAGAAAAUGACAGUACCAUAGGAAUAAGGACCGGCUAAUUACGUGCCAGCAGCCGCGGUAAUACGUAAGGUCCGAGCGUUGUCCGGAAUCAUUGGGCGUAAAGGGUACGUAGGCGGGUAAGCAAGUUAGAAGUGAAAUCCUAUAGCUCAACUAUAGUAAGCUUUUAAAACUGCUCAUCUUGAGGUAUGGAAGGGAAAGUGGAAUUCCUAGUGUAGCGGUGAAAUGCGCAGAUAUUAGGAGGAAUACCGGUGGCGAAGGCGACUUUCUGGCCAUAACCUGACGCUGAGGUACGAAAGCGUGGGUAGCAAACUGG